UGUGAAUAUAACUUUUGUGGAGUUUGGGUUUAUCUGGAAAACAGCUUGGAUUUAGGAGGUUUUCCAUUUGUUUUUUUUUUAAUAUUAUUAUAAAUGUCCUUUUCAUUUACGCGGGCAAGAAUAUUAAAUAAAGGGAAUUUUAAUGGAAAACAGCUUGGAUUUAGGAGGUUUUCCAUUUGUUUUUUUUUAAAUUAUUAUAAUAAAUGUCCUUUUCAUUUACGCGGGCAAGAAUAUUAAAUAAAGGCAAUUUUACUAAAAAGGAGAAAAACACUGGUCACCGGUAAACGCCGGUCAUGGGAGGCUUACGGUUGUGAAUGUUAUCGGGACGGUGCCGUCCUCUGCCGAGCAUUUAAUUUUCGUCCCUUCAUUCUGUUGUUUUUUAUGCUUUAUUCCCACGUUGUGUCGUGUCGUGUCUCCUAACGGCAUGGUUACACGAUCUGGUCUCUAAUUU
rnacentral:lncRNA from 1 species